GACGGACGCUGGCGGCGUGCUUAACACAUGCAAGUCGAACGGAAAGGCCCUGCUUGCAGGGUACUCGAGUGGCGAACGGGUGAGUAACACGUGGGUGAUCUGCCCUGCACUUCGGGAUAAGCCUGGGAAACUGGGUCUAAUACCGGAUAGGAGCCAUUUUUAGUGUGAUGGUUGGAAAGUUUUUUCGGUGUAGGAUGAGCUCGCGGCCUAUCAGCUUGUUGGUGGGGUAAUGGCCUACCAAGGCGGCGACGGGUAGCCGGCCUGAGAGGGUGGACGGCCACAUUGGGACUGAGACACGGCCCAGACUCCUAGGGGAGGCAGCAGUGGGGAAUAUUGAUCAAUGGGCGCAAGCCUGAUGCAGCGACGCCGCGUGGGGGAUGACGGCCUUCGGGUUGUAAACUCCUUUCGCUAGGGACGUAGCUUUUUGUGACGGUACCUAGAUAAGAAGCACCGGCUAACUACGUG
rnacentral:rRNA from 1 species